UAUCUCUGUAGAGUCUGCAUAUCAAUAAGCGGAGGAAAAGAAACUAACUAGGAUUCCCUCAGUAACGGCGAGUGAAGCGGGAAGAGCUCAAAUUUGAAAUCUUCAAGGUUCUACCUUGACGAAUUGUAGUUUAAAGAAGUGUUUUCUGUUGGAUGUUUUGGUAAAAGUUCUUUGGAAUAGGACAUCAUAGAGGGUGAGAAUCCCGUAUUUGACCAUUACUUUCCAGCGUUGUGAUACACUUUCAAAGAGUCGGAUUGUUUGGGAAUGCAGUCCAAAAUGGGUGGUAAAUUUCAUCUAAAGCUAAAUACUGGCGAGAGACCGAUAGCGAACAAGUACCGUGAGGGAAAGAUGAAAAGAACUUUGAAAAGAGAGUUAAACAGUACGUGAAAUUGUCAAAAGGGAAGCGUUUGACACCAGUGUUGUUUUCUCGAAAAUCAAUUAAAAAAGGCAGGAUUUUGUGUUGUAUUGACUUUAUCAGCUUUCUGCACUCUUUUCUUGUCUUUUUUAAUGCACUUUUCGUUUAACAAGUCAACAUCAACUUCUUUUGUUGUAAAAGAGUCAUUGGAAGGUGGCUUUCACUUCGGUGAAAGUGUUUAUAGCCUUUGGCCUCUGCAAUCGGAGAGAUUGAGGUCUGCAGCGUAGAUCCUUCGGGGUUAGAUACAUUUGUGCUAAGUUAUAGCCUUUCAUAGACAACUUGUUGACUAUGAUCAGUCAUGUAGCUUACUCGCUUACGCUAUUUUACCUACGCUUAGGAUGUUGACGAUCAGCUGAGCGCG
rnacentral:rRNA from 1 species